CCAAUAGCGUAUAUUAAAGUUGUUGCAGUUAAAAAGCUCGUAGUUGAACUUCGGGGUCUACCCAUUGGUCAGGCUUAAUUGUCUGCACUGGUGAGAUGGAUCUCUACCUUCUGAGGAACUUUCAUGCCAUUUAUUUGGUGUGAUGGGAAAUCAGGACUGUUACUUUGAAAAAAUUAGAGUGUUUAAAGCAAGCUAACGCUUGAAUACAUUAGCAUGGAAUAAUGAAAUAGGACGUUCGAUCCUAUUUUGUUGGUUUCUAGGAUUUACGUAAUGAUUAAUAGGGAUAGUUGGGGGCAUUAGUAUUCAAUUGUCAGAGGUGAAAUUCUUGGAUUUAUUGAAGACUAACUACUGCGAAAGCAUUUGCCAAGGAUGUUUUCAUUAAUCAAGAACGAAAGUUAGGGGAUCGAAGACGAUCAGAUACCGUCGUAGUCUUAACCAUAAACUAUGCCGACUAGGGAUCGGAUGAUGUUAAUUUUUUAAUGACUCAUUCGGCGCCUUACG
rnacentral:misc_RNA from 1 species